UCUUUCAGGCUGGAAACAAUGCAGCAAAGCCUAGAGUGGGCAAAGGGGUACGCUCUUAAAUGUUGCUUCAGCAGACGGCCUGAUAGCUGAAGUGUCCGAGCUCAUGCAGGAAAGUCGCACCCAUGGUCGGCAUGCACAACCAGCCAGUUCCGGUUACCAGGCUCCAUUGACUUGGAGUGGAGCUAGAGGUGCUCCUCAUUAUCACAUCACCGGAGAGCAACUGAGGGGUCUGAUGAUAGAUGGCAGAUAUUCUUCACGUGUUCCAUUCUACACUCAAACCACAUCUAAGGCACUUUGCAUUAACCUGAAGGCAGCUGCCUUCCCAUCAAUGUUGCAGAGGCUGCACAGAAGGUACAGUGUUGCUGCUCUGAAUUCUUUAUAACACAUCGAUGGAAACUACAGACUGAAGGUGGAGGAUAGUCAUCCAUGGUGGCAUUGAUGGUUACAGCUGCCUUGUGUUUCUCCACGCUUCCAGCAACAAGUGCAGCAUUACUAAAUGCUGAGGACACACAGUCCAUCCAGGCUUAGAACAGGUGAUUGCCACCUAUUGAAUUGGAUAACCAUGGACCGGAACAGAUAAUCAAUAUUUUCCUGCAGUAGUGAAUGUAGGUUACGGCUCGACAUUAAAUUAUAACGAGAAGAAGAAGAAGUGAAUGUAGCUUGUUUCAUAACAACAUAGGUUGAUGGAGUGAUAUGG